GACGAACUGUGCGAACGUUAUUCGGAAUCACUGGGCUUACAGGGUGCGUAGGCGGCCUGUUAAGUAGGGUGUGAAAUCCCCCGGCCCAACCGGGGAAUGGCGCUCUAAACUAGCAGGCUCGAGUGAGCUAGAGGUGCAUGGAACUUCCAGUGGAGCGGUGAAAUGUGUUGAUAUUGGAAGGAACACCGGAGGCGAAAGCGAUGCACUGGGGCUUUUCUGACGCUGAGGCACGAAAGCCAGGGUAGCGAACGGGAUUAGAAACCCCAGUAGUCC
rnacentral:rRNA from 1 species